rnacentral:piRNA from 1 species
UAAUGGUCCUAGAAUGUGAUCAGGUUCUCCU